rnacentral:rRNA from 1 species
UCCUACGGGAGGCAGCAGUGGGGAAUAUUGGACAAUGGGCGCAAGCCUGAUCCAGCCAUGCCGCGUGAGUGAUGAAGGCCCUAGGGUUGUAAAGCUCUUUUACCUGGGAAGAUAAUGACGGUACCAGGAGAAUAAGCCCCGGCUAACUUCGUGCCAGCAGCCGCGGUAAUACGAAGGGGGCUAGCGUUGUUCGGAAUCACUGGGCGUAAAGAGCACGUAGGCGGAUCUUUAAGUCAGAGGUGAAAUCCCGAGGCUCAACCUCGGAACUGCCUUUGAUACUGGGGAUCUCGAGUCCGGGAGAGGUGAGUGGAACUGCGAGUGUAGAGGUGAAAUUCGUAGAUAUUCGCAAGAACACCAGUGGCGAAGGCGGCUCACUGGCCCGGAACUGACGCUGAGGUGCGAAAGCGUGGGGAGCAAACAGGAUUAGACACCCUGGUAGUCCACGCCCUAAACGAUGGAUGCUAGCCGUUGGUCAGCUUGCUGAUCAGUGGCGCAGUUAACGCUUUAAGCAUCCCGCCUGGGGAGUACGGUCGCAAGAUUAAAACUCAAAUGAAUUGACGGA